GGUCUGGGAGGGGCAGAGCAGCUUUGUUAGUACUUCCUUCUGUUGAAGUGUUCCGUUGGCAAUAAAAUGCACUUUGACUUGUCACCAAUGCCCCAGAGGGGCUGCACUUGGCUCAUUUCUCCAGGGAUGCACACUGGUCCCCUCACCAGGCUCUGUCUGGCUGCUCUGUCUGUACCCCAUAACUUCUGCAGGUAACACUAGAGCAUUUGGGGCCACAGAGAACCUCACUAGUGCUGCCAAGUGCCCACCCAUCUCUGGGCAAUUCAGGAGCCACAGGGCCCUCCUUUCACUCAGGUGGCCCAGAGUCAGCCACCACCCCCAGGCCAGCUCCAUUCCUAAGACAAGAACCCCAUGGCCUCCCCAGGGCCCCCAUGGGUUGUUGACCCCUCAGUGUGUCUAAGACUACACAUUUGUGACAAUUCCUAAGCUUCCUGGGGACCCUGACUCCACCUGGUCUGGACUCAACCAUCGUGGCCACACACAGCCUUUCUAUUAGAGGACUUGCGAGUGUCCAGGUCCCUGAGUACGCGGCUGGCCCUGCAGCACCCACUUCCCCAGGAGCGUAUGCCAGAGGGAGGGCUGGGGCAGCCCUGCCUUGUCCCCAGGUCACCAGCAGUGAUGGAACAAGAGGACAGUGCAGGUCAGGGGAGAAAGUCACCCUGGAUGGCUCCAGAGCAGCCAGCUCCUGCACGCCCAGGCGCCUGUGCUGGGCACAUGGGACCCUGUGCGUCAAAGUGCCGCACACACUGGUCACUGACACAGGGCUGCCGAGAUGGAGCCCGGGCCUCGGUGCCGCGCACACUGGUCACUGACACAGGGCUGCCGAGAUGGAGCCCGGGCCUUGUUCUUGCACCCAAGGCGCAACAGCCGCAGAGAACACAAAAGCAAAUGAUUCUCUCUGCUAAAUAUAAACCAGCGCAAGCUGGCAUGAGCUUACUGUGCUUAAAUGAUCCAAGGAAACUUGAGUUGGCAUUUUUGAGUCCUCAAUGAUCAAACCUUACACUGGAGACUCCACCUCAGGAGUGCUGGGCUAGAAAUCUGGAGCCUUGUGUGGCCUUGGCACCCCCACCUACUACUCACCUGGAAAUUAGUCACCGGCUCUCCCUGGUACCUUUGCUCACAGAGGGAGGACCUAACAAGCAGAGCUGAUGAGAAACCACAGGACUCACUGUGCAGUCCAGCGUCCUCACUGCAGGUGGGCGACAGAUUCGGCUAUAAAGCUUCCUAGCAGCCACUGGGAAAAGAGAAAAUAUGAGACACACACUGUUAUAAAAGGCAGACUAAUUUCUCAGGAAAAGCAUCCCUCUUCCUAGCAGGAAAACCACAAACUUUUCCUGUACAUCCUCAUGGCACCAUGAUGUGCCAGGAAUGGCAGCCUACUUAGAGACAGCAGUGGGUAAGCUUGCACCCACCUUGCUGUUCCUGGAGUCCUUGGCAAGGGCAUCGUGGCCCAGAUCAACAGCUCAUCAGGGUGGCGGGCACGGGAGGGCACAGGCGCACAGCUCCUUCCAGGCGGUGGGCACACAAGGGCACAGGUGUGGAGCUCUGCACAGGAGGCAGGGCUGGAAGGGGCCCCCCUCCCAGCCUUCAGGGAAGAGCACCCCACCGAGCCUUGCUCUGGGCAGGGGCCUCUGUGUCCCCUUAAAACACCUGCCAGCAAGUCCCCAAAGCAAGAUUUCAGAACCACUGAAAUUUUCCCCUUUGAAACAAGCAGAGGUCCUAACCAGAGUUUCCAUCGGUUGUACAGCACACGGUGGUGACCUGUGUACAGCGGCCACAAACAGCCCAAGCCCUGAGGUCCUCCUCAGCCCCCUGCUCCGGCACCGCAGCUUCGGUCCUGCAGACACGGGGUUUUUCACACACACAGGAGGAUGUGCUUCUUUCUGCCCGUCAUUGGCAUUUAUGAACAGACUCUCUUACAAAAAUCCAAGAGGACAGAAGGCCCUGCUGUUAGCAUCAGGGACCCUGGACAGGCAGAGCCUUCAGUCUUGGGAAGCUUUUGUUUUUAACUUCAAGAACAGUCACCUAUCCCGCUGGAACUCUGAUCAAUGACUCUCAGAACCAAAUGCAUCACGAACAUCCACAACCCCAGGUGUGAGGUGCUGCUUCCUCCAGCUGGGACCUGGGAUUCAGCACACGUGGCACACGGAGACGGAUCCCAGAAGGAAAGGAACAGGCGGUGCAGGUUUGCCAGAACGUACCCGACACCCCCUCAAUCCCGAGGGUGGGCUUUCUCCAAACCCUCCUGCCGCCCCCGCCUGACACCUGCAGCACCUCUGCACUCUGGGCCACUCGCCCCGAGGCCCAGCCACCAGCCGGCCAGAGGAAGAGAAUAUUGGCUAAGAGAAAGAAUCCUGGUGUGAAGUGACUAGACUUUUCUUCCACCUGCAACGAAACGAUGAACUGGAACAAGCCCUUCUGAGAACGCAGAGCACCCGGGGCUCUGCCCAGCCCCUUGCAGGCAUCUGAGUCCUGGCACCUGGUGAAGCUAAGGCACAGCAGGGCACCCGCAGGUGUGACCGUGCAUUGCCUGCACGAAAGGAAGUUGCAUUCACUUCAUCUGCAUUUCAAUCUGCUCAAAACAAUGUGUUUUUUUAUAAAAUUUCCCUGAAUGGUC